CAGUAGCCGCGGGAAUACGAAGGGGGCGAGCGUUGCUCGGAAUGACUGGGCGUAAAGGGCGCGUAGGUGGUACGGACAGUCAGAUGUGAAAUUCCCGGGCUCAACCUGGGGGCUGCAUUUGAUACGUCCGAACUAGAGUGUGGAAGAGGGUCGUGGAAUUCCCAGUGUAGAGGUGAAAUUCGUAGAUAUUGGGAAGAACACCGGUGGCGAAGGCGGCGACCUGGUCCAUUACUGACGCUGAGGCGCGAAAGCGUGGGGAGCAAACAGGAUUAGAUACCCCGGUAGUCCCUGUCUCUUAUAC
rnacentral:rRNA from 1 species